UACGAAGGGGGCUAGCGUUGCUCGGAAUCACUGGGCGUAAAGCGCACGUAGGCGGCUUGUUAAGUCAGGGGUGAAAUCCUGGAGCUCAACUCCAGAACUGCCUUUGAUACUGGCGAGCUUGAGUUCGGGAGAGGUGAGUGGAACUGCGAGUGUAGAGGUGAAAUUCGUAGAUAUCGUAAGGAAGACCAGUGGCGAAGGCGGGUCUCUGGACAGUUCCUGACGCUGAGGCACGAAGGUCAGGGGAGCAAACGGG
rnacentral:rRNA from 1 species